rnacentral:rRNA from 1 species
CUACGGAGGGUGCAAGCGUUAUUCGGAAUCACUGGGCGUAAAGGACGCGUAGGCGGGUUGGCAAGUCAGAUGUGAAAUCCUACAGCUUAACUGUAGAACUGCAUUUGAAACUGCUAACCUAGAGUAUGGGAGGGGGAGAUGGAAUUAGUGGUGUAGGGGUAAAAUCCGUAGAUAUCACUAGGAAUACCGAAAGCGAAGGCGAUCUCCUGGAACAUAACUGACGCUAAGGCGUGAAAGCGUGCGGAGCAAACAGGAUUAGAUACCCUAGUAGUCC